GAUGAAGAACGUAGCGAAAUGCGAUACUUGGUGUGAAUUGCAGAAUCCCGUGAACCAUCGAGUCUUUGAACGCAAGUUGCGCCCGAAGCCAUCAGGUUGAGGGCACGUCUGCCUGGGCGUCACAUAUCGUUGCCCAAUGCCUAUUGCAGUGCAAUAGGAAUUUCUAGGGCGAAUGAUGGCUUCCCGUGAGCGUUGUUGCCUCGCGGUUGGUUGAAAAUCGAGUCCUUGGUAGGGUGUGCCAUGGUAGAUGGUGGUCGAGUUAGAACGAUACCGAUCAUGUGCAUGCUCCCCAAAAUAUGGCCUCUAUGACCCACACGCGUCUUUUGACGCUCAUGACGAGACCUCAGGUCAGGCGGGGCUACCCGCUGAAUUUAAGCAUAUCAAUAAGCGGAGAA
rnacentral:misc_RNA from 1 species